GGCUCGGUGGUGGAGGGUCCGCAUCUGCUUUCAAUAAAGCUUAACUGUAUGUAUCAUACACAGCAGAGAAUGCCUGUUCAACUCAGGUCCGAGCCA